UACGUAGGGGGCAAGCGUUGUCCGGAUUUAUUGGGCGUAAAGAGCGCGAAGGCGGUUCGUGUAGUCCGAGGUGAAAUCUCCCGGCUCAACUGGGAGGGGUCUUUGGAUACUGGCGGACUUGAGGAGAGCAGAGGUGAGUGGAAUUCUGGGUGUAGUGGUGAAAUGCGUAGAUAUCCAGAGGAACACCAGCGGCGAAGGCGGCUCACUGGGCUCCACCUGACGCUGAGGCGCGAAAGCGUGGGGAGCGAACCGG
rnacentral:rRNA from 1 species